GGCAAGUCUGGUGCCAGCAGCCGCGGUAAUUCCAGCUCCAGUAGCGUAUAUUAAAGUUGUUGCAGUUAAAAGCUCGUAGUUGAACUUCUGUGGCGUGGCUGCGCGUGGCAACACGUGCGGCCUGGCCACAUCCUCCUGAGGAGCUCGUCUUCAUUCACUUGUGGGCGAGUGUUCAGGAACUUUACCUUGAGAAAAUUAGAGUGUUCCAGGCAGGCUUAGCCUGAAUAGUGCAGCAUGGAAUAAUACAAGAGGACUUGGCUCCAGUUGUUGGUGUAUGGCGCUGAGUAAUGAUUAACAGGGAUAGUUGGGGCAUUCGUAUUUUAAUUGUCAGAGGUGAAAUUCUUUAAUUUGUCAAAGACAAACAAAUGCGAAAGCAUUUAUCAAGACUGUUUUCAUUAAUCAAGAACGAAAGUUAGGGGAUCGAAGACGAUUAGAUACCGU
rnacentral:rRNA from 1 species